GUUGAGGUCUAUCCCGAUAGGUCUUUUCCUGUAGCCUGCACGUUGUUGGAAAUGCCUCAUAGAGUAACUCUGUGGUUUUACUUUACUCACAGGACUAUUGUUACAUCUGUGGGAAGGAACCACAAGACAGUU
ensembl:snoRNA